GUGGGGAAUUUUGGACAAUGGGCGAAAGCCUGAUCCAGCCAUGCCGCGUGUGUGAAGAAGGUCUUCGGAUUGUAAAGCACUUUAAGUUGGGAGGAAGGGCAGUAAGUUAAUACCUUGCUGUUUUGACGUUACCGACAGAAUAAGCGCCGGCUAACUUCGUGCCAGCAGCCGCGGUAAUACGAAGGGUGCAAGCGUUAAUCGGAAUUACUGGGCGUAAAGCGCGCGUAGGUGGUUUUGUAAGUUGGAGGUGAAAUCCCCGGGCUCAACCUGGGAACGGCCUCCAAAACUGCAUGACUAGAGUACGGUAGAGGGUAGUGGAAUGUCCUGUGUAGCGGUGAAAUGCGUAGAUAUAGGAAGGAACACCAGUGGCGAAGGCGACUACCUGGACUGAUACUGACACUGAGGUGCGAAAGCGUGGGGAGCAAACAGGAUUAGAUACCCGGGUAGUCC
rnacentral:rRNA from 1 species